rnacentral:rRNA from 1 species
UACGUAGGGUGCGAGCGUUGUCCGGAAUUAUUGGGCGUAAAGAGCGUGUAGGCGGCCAAGCAGGUCCGUUGUGAAAACUCGAGGCUCAACCUCGAGACGCCGAUGGAAACCAUCUGACUAGAGUCCGGAAGAGGAGAGUGGAAUUCCUGGUGUAGCGGUGAAAUGCGCAGAUAUCAGGAAGAACACCCGUGGCUAAGGCGGCUCUCUAGUACGUGACUGACGCUGAGACGCGAAAGCGUGGGGAGCGAACAGG